UCAGGACGAACGCUGGCGGCGUGCCUAACACAUGCAAGUCGAGCGAGGAGAUCCUCGGGAUGAUCCUAGCGGCGGACGGGUGAGUAACACGUGGGCAACCUGCCUCAUAGAGAGGAAUAGCCUUCCGAAAGGGAGAUUAAUACCUCAUAACAUUGCAGUUUCGCAUGGAACAGCAAUUAAAGGAGUAAUCCGCUAUGAGAUGGGCCCGCGGCGCAUUAGCUAGUUGGUGAGGUAACGGCUCACCAAGGCGACGAUGCGUAGCCGACCUGAGAGGGUGAUCGGCCACAUUGGGACUGAGACACGGCCCAGACUCCUACGGGAGGCAGCAGUGGGGAAUAUUGCACAAUGGGGGAAACCCUGAUGCAAGCAACGCCGCGUGAGUGAUGACGGCCUUCGGGUUGUAAAGCUCUGUCUUCAGGGACGAUAAUGACGGUACCUGAGGAGGAAGCCACGGCUAACUACGUGCCAGCAGCGGC
rnacentral:rRNA from 1 species